CCUACGGGGGGCAGCAGUGAGGAAUAUUGGUCAAUGGUCGGGAGACUGAACCAGCCAAGCCGCGUGAGGGAGGAAGGUACAGAGUAUCGUAAACCUCUUUUGUCAGGGAACAAAGACUGGGACGCGUCCACGGAUGAGUGUACCUGAAGAAAAAGCAUCGGCUAACUCGGUGCCAGCAGCGGCGGUAAUACGGGGGAUGCGGGGGUUAUCGGGAUUUAUUGGGUUUAAAGGGUGCGCAGGCGGUUUGUUAAGUCAGCGGUCAAAGCCCGGGGCUCAACCCCGGCCCGCCGUUGAAACUGGCAGUCUCGAGUUGGAGAGAAGUAUGCGGAAUGCGCGGUGUAGCGGUGGAAUGCAUAGAUAUCGCGAAGAACGCCGGUUGCGAAGGCAGCUUGCCGGCUCCACACUGACGCUGAGGCACGAAAGCGUGGGUAUCGAACAGGAUUAGAUACCCCGGUAGUC
rnacentral:rRNA from 1 species